CUCCUCGAUCUCCAGUUGCCUCUCUGUGCAUGCACAUUGGUCACUGAUCUUGCUUACUGGGGCCCUGCAGGCCCACGGGUCCGCAGCUCCACACGGAAGCCUCCUAGCAACCUACCUCCACUUGGCACCUUUUCAAGUGCGGCAAUGAAGGCCACUGGUCCAGACAAUGCCCAAAUCCAGGUAAGCCCACCAGGCCAUGCCCCCUCUGCAGAGGACCCCAAUGGAAAUUGGACUGUGAGCGGCCCCUGCAAGGGCGGCCCCAUCACUUCCUAAGCCGGCCAAAACCUCCUACUUGGAUCUCAUUGGCCUUGCCGCUGAAGAUUGAUGGUGCCCUGGAAUGGAUGCCCCGGCAACUACCAUCGCUUCAUCCGAGCCAAGGGUAACCCUGAUGGUGGCAGGUAGGCCAGUAUUUUUUUUUUAAUUAAUACCGGGCAAACUACUCUGCUUUACCUAAUUUUUCAGGACACACCCAGUCCUCCCUUUUCUCCGUUGUGGGAAUUGACAGACAAGACUCCAAACCCUGAGCCACCCCUCCACUUUUCUGCUCCCUGCACACCUUUUCCUUCAGUCACCCUUUCUUAGUCCUGCCCUCAUACCAGAGACAUCCUUUCAAAACUCCACACUACUCUCCACUUGCACAUUCCCCAUAGUACCCAACGCAUCAACCCAGACCCCUCGGGGCAUCUAACUUUCUUCUACUCCUCCAACCUGCCACCUUAAAACAUGCAACUUUACCUUAUCCCCCAUCCGUAGUUAACCCCGCUGUUUAGAAUAUUUCCACACCUUCAGUCGCAAAACACCACACCCCCGUCCGCAUUACCCUUAAAGAGUCCACCCAGUUCCUAUCACAGAAGCAGUAUCCCAUCCCCCAAGCAGCUCUCAUAGGCCUAAAGCCUAUCAUUUCUCGCCGCCUCACCAGUCACCUACUCCACCCAAGAAACUCUCCUUUUAACACACCAGUUCUACCUGUUUAAAAGCCAGAUGGAACUUAUCACUUAGUCCAGGACCUCAGGCUCAUUAACCAAGCUGUACUCCCAGUAUGUCCAGUAGUUCCUAACCCAUAUACUUUACUUUCUGCAAUUCCCUCCAAUACCACCCAUUUUCCUGUUCUAUACCUAAAGGAUGCUUUUUUCCACAAUUCCUUUACACCCUGAUUCCCAAAACCUCUUUGCCUUUACAUGGGAAAACCCCGACACCCACCUUUCACAUCAGCUCACCUGGUGCGUACUACCUCAAGGUUUCAGAGACAGCCCCCAUCUUUUUGGACAGGCCCUUGCUCAUGACCUCUGUACCUUAUCCCUAAAACCGUCCACUCUCCUUCAAUGUGUUAAUGAUCUGCUCCUGUGUAGCCCCUCUCAAAGAGACUGCAACGCCCAUGCUAUCUCUCUCUUUUAAACUUCUUGGCAGAACGGAGGUAUCGGGUCUCCCCUAAGAAAGCACAAAUAUGAGCCCCCUUAGUCACUUAUCUAGGCCUGGCUCUUACCCCAUGAACCCGAGGGCUCACAACCGACCACAUAUCCCUCCUCCAGUCUCUCCCACCUCUGCAAACUAAGCAAGAAAUUCUCUUUCCUAGGACUAGUGGGAUAUGUUAGGCUCUGGGUUCCCUCCUUUGCUCUACUUGCCAAACCAUUAUACCAAGACACUAAAGGCCCUCUCCAUGAGCCUUCAAACCCUGCAUAGCCUAUUACCCAACCUUUCCAUCUACUCCAGAAGACUCUCAUCUCAGCCCCCAUCCUCACUCUCCCAGACCUCACCAAACCUUUCUCCCUCUAUACCAACGAACGUGUAGAGUUGCACUAGGUGUUCUAACCCAGUCUAAGAGACCCACCCUCCAGGUUAUCGCCUACCUCUCCAAACAGCUUGAAGCCACAGUUCUCAGAUGGUCUGCCUGCCUCCAAGCACUGGAGGCAGCUGCUGUCUUCAUCCUUGAAAGCCUAAAACUAUCUCUCCAUGCCAACCUAACAGUUUAUUCAACCCAUAAUAUCAAAGACAUGCUAGCUCACCACAGUGUACUAAGUCUCAUCUCUGCCCCACGGCUCCUCCAACUGUAUGCUCUGUUCAUAGAAACCCCCCAAAUCACCGUGCUAACCAGCUCUCAUGUAAACCCUGCCAUGCUCUUUCCUGAAGCUACAACCGCCCAAUACCCUACACACUUCUGUGUGAACACUGUUCAAACCUUUCUUACACCUUUUCCAAACCUAACAGCCCAACCCCUUCCAGAUGCCUCCUUUACUUGGUUUGUAGAUGGCAGCUCCUUCCUAUGUCAAGGAUGCCGGCAUGCUGGCUAUGAUAUAGUGUCACCCCCUCACACACACUACUGAAGCCAAUCCGCUCCCCCAGGCACCACCUCCCAAAAAGCUGAAUGCACUGCUCUCACUCAAGAUCUCACUCUAGUAACCAGACAACAAAUUAACAUAUAUUCAGAUUCUCAUUAUGCGUUCCAUAUAGUACACUCACACUCGUCUAUGUGGAAAGAACAAGGUUUUUUAACUGCAAAAAACACUCCUGUCAUAAAUGGCUCUCUUACCAGCAAGCUCCUUCAAGCUGCCAGACUCCCGCAGAAAGCUGCCUUCAUUCAUUGCAGGGGCCACCAAACCCGGGACAAUCCUAUAUCGGCUGGAAAUGCGCUAGCAGAUCAGGUAGCCAAACAAGUAGCCCUGCAACCCAUGCAAGGCCAGUUUCUGUCCCUGUCCUUGUUCUCUCCUCUUUACUCCUCAGAAGAAAAGGAGGACUUCUGAGCCCAAAACCUUCAAAAGCAAGGACCAUGGUAUGUCAAGGAAAGGCACUUCAUUCUUCCUCACUCUCAAAGCCUUCCUCAUCUCCAAAGCCUCCCCAACACUUUCCAUGUUGGUUACAAAUUCUCUUGCAACUUCUCCGCCCUGUUCUCACUUGUCCUCACCUUUCCAGCUAUGUUCAAGAUAUUACCCAGUCCUGCUCUAUCUGCCACUCAGUGUCACCCCAGGGCUCCCUCCGGCCACCGCCUUUUCCUACCCACCAAGCCCGGGGCCAGAUACCCAGGCACGAUUGGCAAGUAAACUUCACUCACAUGCCGCCCAAUAAACAGCUCCGCUAUCUUCUAGUCUUGGUCUGUACCUUCUCCAGGUAAGCAGAAGUGUUCCCAACAACUUCAGAAGGUGCAAAUGUCACACAAACUCUCAUCAUGCAUAUAAUUCCCCAUUUCGGCCUCCCAACAUCCAUCCAGUCCGAUACAGGCCCACCUUAAUCAGCCAAAUUAUCCAAGGCGUCUCUACGUCCUUAAGAAUAAAGUAGGUUCUCCACACACCCUACAGGCCUCAAUCUUCAGGCAAAGUUGAAAAAAUGAACUCUGUCCUUAAAGCCCAACUCACCAAGCUGGCUCUAAAAACCCAGCAGUUGUGGACAAAAAAAAUCUCCCUUUUGCCCUCAUAAGGCUCUGCGCAACACCAAAAGCACCCUCUUUUUAUAGUCCCUUUGCAAUCAUGUAUGGCUGAACUUUUGUCUUGGGGCCUCCACCCUUACCAGACUCUGAGCCCUUCAGGAAUUACCUUCCCUCCUUAAUCCAGACAGGGUCUUUCAUUUGUGAAGCAGCAAAUGAGGCCAUGCCUCUCCCUGUCCACACCGCCUUGUCCUCUCAACAUAACUGUCUUGCAGGCACAGAUGUGUUUCCAGACAAUCCAGAUGAUGCUCCUGAUACAACGACAUGGUGGACACCAGCCCGUCUCUCAAGAAUACCCAAAAAAUUAAGGUUUUCUUUUUCCAAGGUGCCCACGCCACCCCUAUGUCACGCCUGAAGUAGUUAUUGAGAAAGUCAUCCCUUUUCCCUUUUCUAUAACCAAAUAGACAGGAAUGUAAGAUUCUCCCCGGGGCCUGAAAGCUUAAGGAGAUGAAAGAAAAACUCUUCCCUUCUCAGGCCCAGUCCCAAGGCUCAAGGCUACUUGCGCCAGCAGGGUGCGCCAGGAAGAUAGCAGAAGCAGGAAGAGAGCCGGCCGGAAGACACACCCCUGAAGACCCAGAAAGAGGCCAAUCCAGUUACAACUUAGCAAUUACGUCAGACUAGGACACUUCCUGUUUACAGGAGACUGUAAAACUUUCGUCCCGUCCUCACUUGGGGUUGACGCCAUUUUAGGCCUCAGCCCGCCUGCACCCAGGCGCUCAUUAAAACAGCAUGUUGCUCCA